GAUAAGCGUAGGGGGUGGGGAAGACUCAUGGGGUGCGGGGGAAGCACAACAAAAUGUUACUCCACAGUUCAUUGGAUGCCUAUUUAAAUCCCACGGUGGCCAUCCAGAGUAGGGUAGCCAUAGCAACAAACCAGAAUGUUUUCCCAGAGUGUGAGGACCUGAUGGAGGAGGACAGACAGUGCUGAGUACAGGGGUCUCCAGCAAGUAGACUUUUCCCGGGCACAGCUCUGCCUCACAGACUUGAAAAGAGCAGCUGUAGCCGAAGCUGUGAGUCUCCUCAAUGAACACAGAGUAUAUCUAUAGCUUUGGCAACCUCCUUGGAGAACUGAAAGUUGGCUUCCUUCAAGAUAACCUAAAAUGAAGCGUAUUUUUAAAAAUAUCUUUGAUCAAGUUCACAUUUCGAGGCAUUGAAAAACAAGAAAAACAAAACCAGACAGAAGACCACAUGGGAGCUGGGAGUGGGAGCUGUGAUUGUUCCUUUUCGAGCAAUUCCUUCGACUGCUAUGCAUUAGGAAAAGAUACUACUUGUCUAGGUUCUUGGUCCAAAUGAUGUUGCCAGGUGUGAGUUAUACUAUGUGGAGCAAGCCUUAAAUCUGAGCAAAUGUGACCUCCAUGCCACUACGGUACUGCUGGGUAUAUCUUGCCAGGCCAGCCUUCACAUCCUGAGCCAUGAGAAAAUAUGGAUUCAUACUUCGAGAUUUCAUCUUAACCUGGUGAGAAUGCAUAAGAUUUUUUAAAAAAAAAAUACAGUAAAUUCAGGCAAGAGGGUGGGAGAAGAGAAAUAAUAAAUCACUGUUGAUAGUGCAAAGUGGAAACUGUUGGCAAUCAGGCACCUCCAGGGUCAGCCCUGAGGGACCCGAUGACAGCAGAACACAUCUCCACUAGCUACGCAGAUGUGACACAACCCUGUUGUGACCUUUGUUCCAUGUCCUUCUGUGCAAUGCACCACAGCCCCAAUAAAAGGCUGUGCUUUUCCUCCCUUCUUUCCUUCCGCCACCCAGAGGCAGCCUUUGUGUCCCAUUACUCCCUCCCUUUUAAUACACCUCCCACAUGAGAACUGCUGCACGCUGUGACUUGUAGGAUUUUAUUGCUUUGUUCCAUCAGAAGCCACUAUAGAAAUCAUGGAUUUAAAAGAAAAAAAUCUGGAAAUAGCAAGUGAUCAGUGUGUAACACACUUGGGCAAAUACUCUAAGGGCUCUUUAUAUCCUACCACAGCGAUACCUGUUUGUGAAUAUCCGUUGUUGCUCUGUUCAGAGUAACCUAAAAAUGGAAACAAUCUAGAUUCCCGUCAACUAUCCAAUGAAUAAUGAAAAUAUGUAUUAUUGAUGUAAUGGAAUAUUAUUCAGCUUUUAAGAAAAACAAGAAAUUGGCAGAUAUAAAUGGGUGGAACUGAAAAUUAUAAUCCGCUUAGGGUAACUAAGACCCAGAAAGAUAAAUACUGCAUAACAGCUUAGAUCUUCAAAUAGAUGUGCUUCAUUUGCAAUGUACAUAGAGGUCAGGCGGUUGCGGGGGGUGGUGGCUUUAACGUAAGGAGAAACGGGGAAUAAUGGGACAGUUAAAUGAGGUAUGGAGUAUGGGAGGACAGGGUAGAGUAGGAAGUAUGGCAUGACAUCAUAAAUAACACUAAACACUUUUCAAAAAUUCUUCAGGAAACCCAGUACCACAUCAGCGUCUGAAACUAUAUGAAUCAGUUCAAUCAGUCUGCACUAUUUGUAUACAGGGAAAAACUUUCACCAAUUAGCUUGUCCAUAAAUGAUUGACCUCUCAAUCACGUUUUGAUCUUGUGCACCUCUGGGACCAGAGUUUCCACAUGCUGCUUGUGUCUGUAACUGCUUCCAAAUGCUGGUGCCCAGGGUAUCAACGAUCUGAAUCAAACCAGAUAGAAUUCAGUCUUUCAGACUGCUCUCCGACAAGCAGGAGUGUUAGCUCUUGCUCAAUAUUUCUUGUGCCUCCUGAGAGAAGAGCCCUGAUAGGCGAGAUUUAUUCACAGUCCCCCUGUGGCAAGCUGAACGUGGGAAACAUGUCAAAUUCUGUGGAUUUUCCUAGCUUUUGUUCUGGAAUUUGAUUGUGGUAUUACAAUAGCCUGUAGCUUUAUUCUUAAAUUCUAGAGUUCUCAGAUGUUUGAAUACAAACACUUAAUUUUUUUUGUCUCUGUUAAUAUGUAGAUCUCAUUUCAGGCAACGUUUUUAGAAAUCAAAGCAAGUGAAAGAAAUUCAUUUAUAAUGUUGAAAAAGGCCAAAUCGCAAAGUUUAUUGUAUUUUUUAUUUGUUACAAGGUAUGAGCGUUUAAUGCUAGAGGAAAAAGUUACACUGGGACUUAAUGACUCAUGAGCCAAGGUAACUCUGACUACUUGAGGAUAGAGCAGAGUUGUGUUAUAACCAUCACUUUGAUAAUAAGAGUUCUAGUAAGAUAGGAUAAAAAUGUGAAGAGAGCGGAGAAAAUUCUUACAGGCCCACCUUCAUGCCUGUUGCAAAAGAUGUGGGUCCGAAAUGCGGAAUUGUUAUAAAAUGCAUGCUAAGAAGGAGAUAGGUAGGUUGUUGCUGUGGUUGUUACUGCUUUUGUUUUGUUUCCAUUUGUCUUUGUAUUUCCUUACUCAAAAUUAAAAUUUAAAUCGUGGAAGAAAAGUUUUAUUUAUUUAUUUAUUUAUUUAUUUAUUUAUUUGUUUGUUUGUUUGUUUAUUCUGUAGAAGCAGCUUUUGUGAAACACCUUAUAUCUAAAGAUUUAAAGACUAAAACUCCAAGUUUUGCUAAAAUUGUGCCUUUAGGUUGUAUUUUCAUGGGCAGUCAAGGCUGAAUUUUCACACACACACACACACACACACACACACACACACACACACACACACACACACACCUGCCUCAAGGCUGUUAGGUCUCCUUUCCUUGGUGCAGAUCACCUUGUGUCUUCCUAGCCUCAUCCUUCUCAGCUUGAAUUCACCUUAGGAAGACUGUAAGCCAUUGUUCUUCUAGGCUCGGAACUUUGAAACAUACCCAUGGUUAGCAGUAAGAGUGACAGCCUAACAGGUGUCUGAAGUGGAAAUGUAAGGGUUCUUUGGAAAGUCAUUGGAUGGUGUUUUGCUGGGACAAACAUGUGAAGGAACGUCUCAUUAAAGCGGACACGAGCGAAAGGCUAAGGCAGACUUGUGAAGGAACAUUUUGCUGAAGCAGACACAGGAGAGAGGAAGUUCUGCUAAAGCAAGCACAUGAAAGGAUAUGUGACAAAAGAUUCUUUGCUAAUGACACACAUGCAUUGGUCUUCCUUGCACUGCAUAGUCGAGCUGCAUUUGUUGGGACACCAGAGAGAGAACUGCACCAAAAAACUUCCGAUGUUGUUCUGCAGUUUGUUGCAGAAUCGGUGUACUCAGGCUAAUUGGAUGCACGUGCUGAGACAAGAGCCAUACUGAGGUAAGAACUCUGCUGAGAGAAGAUCUGUGCUACAGCAAGGCAGGCAGAGGACACAUGAUGUGACAGAAACAGAGCUUCGCUUGCUGGUACAGCUAGCUAUGCAAAGCUUGUGGGUCUCAAGUCUUUGCUGAUCUUCGCUCCCCUCAGAGAGGCACAGCUGAGAACUGCUGGUUGUUCCUGUUGGUUCCUCUGGUAAAAAUGAGUUCUUUAAAAUAUUUCAUGAACAUAUUGACUGGUGGCUUCCUCCCACAAGUAUACAUGGUUAACCUUGAUCUAGGCACCCUAUGGACAGGAGUAAUGGAACAGACAAGACACUUUUCUUCUUGGAGCUUAGCUUCUGGGGUUGAGAGAAGAAACAAAGAAGAAAGUAAACACGAUUAAUAAGUCUUGUAUACUAGAAGAUAAAAAUACUAAGAAAAUGAAAAUAGACUGUGACAAAAGAUAUGGGAAAUAGGAAAAGCAGGGUGGACCAGUCAUGCUUUAAACAUUGUAUGCCAGCACAGCAGCUUUUGAACAAUCCUGUCUCUGCUACCCACACCCUUAGUCAACCUUUCUUUUUAUUGUUAGGAGUUCCACUGGAUAAAUAUUUUAAGUUUGGGUGUUUGUGUGCAAACUAUUUAUAGCUGUCCCUUUCUUGUUUGGUUGGUUUUUUUUUUAUAACAUUUUAAAAUAUGAAAAAGCUUUGUUACUUUGUGGGCUCUGUAAGAACUGAGCACAUAGUGGAUUUCGUCAAUCGGAAGUUGUUUGCCAGGCUCUCCCCUGAAGCAUAUCAAACUGAAAAGUUUACUUUCAGGGCAUAUGCUUGUAUGCACUUGGAGGAAUGUACACUCAUACCCUGAGGGUUCUCUGUGCUUCCUUCCUUCCUUUCCUUCUCAAGAAGACCUACCAGAAUGCGAAUAAGAUUGACACAUGUAACAGGAAUACAUUUUAAUCAGCCCUUACACAUUCUUAGUAUUAAUGAUGACUUAGCUACAGAUGGCUGGUUUCUCUGUAUACAAUGCUAGGGAACAGGAUGAAGCCCCAUAUUACUUCUUCACCAGCAGUCAGUACAGGAGCUAGGGUUACUCCUUGAUAGUAAAUCCUCCCUCUGCUACAAUACUUUCCACAUUGGGCUUUCCAUCACUGGCUUGCCAGUUAUAGGAUUUUGCACAAGGAUCCAAAAUGACAACUACCUUCCAGCCCCUGACCUUAAUUCCAGUCUCUCUUUAUUCCUGCCUCCUCCUUCCCUGAAUCAAAGAGGUAACUGAAUGUCUUCUCUGUAGAAAAGGGAAAAAUAUCCAAGGUUGGUAAAGACCAAGUGGUUAAAAUAAAUAUAUGAAAACUGAGACUCUCAAUGUAACAUAUAUAAUAUAUAUAUUUGCCUUGGCAAUAUGAACUCUAUUGUGCUAUAGGACAUUAGCUUUGGAAAUCCUCACACACAUAUGUUUUGAACAUUUGAUGUGCUUGUUAGCAACAUUUCCAUUGAUCAGAGGUAGGAACAAGUGGCUAGUUUUGCACAGCCGCGAUUGGACAAAGCCCGAUGUGAGCCAGGCUGCUUUGGAGCCUCAUGCUGCCCAUUCUUUACAAGCACAUGAGUAUCUGCUUCAGUUUGUAAAUACUCACAGCUCAUGAUGCACCAGGGCGGUGUGGUAGUCAUCACUAGCAUGACAAUUGUCACAUUUUAGAAAUUUUGAAGAACAUGAUUUUAGGCUCUUUGUAUCUGUGGAUACCAACAUGGUCUACCUGGGUUGUCUCCACAGUUGCCUUUUAAGUCAGUUUGUGGAGAAAGCCCUACGUGACUGACUGCUUCUCUGGGUACGUGGAAGGUUUUGCUCUACCUCUGAGACGUCUUACAGAUAUGACAGGAGACAGAGACCCAGACAUGGGUGAGACUAGGUCCUCCCUGAAUAUUUCCUUAAUUAUAUACCACCCAUGCAACUAUAUGAUCACCUCCAUUUCUAUUUUAGCUCAUUCUAAAGUCACCCUACAUUGUUUUACCUUCUGGUUCAAGCCUAUUCUUCUCUAAGACAAUCAAAUGCAUUGUUAUGCCAACUGUUUCUCUGAUCAGUUGCCAAUUGAACAGUAAGCCUCUGUUGUAUGGUCCCUCUUUCCUACUCUGUUUUCUCCAUAGCUCUAUAUGGCAUGGUCUGGAGACUUGCUCUUGAUACCUUGACUAGCAUACAAGCCCCAUGGAGCAGAAAAGUCAUGCCUCUCCUGUCCCCACUGACCCAGGACAGAACCAUGAACAGUGUUUUUCCACUGCUUGGAAAAACUUGAUUGAAUGAUAAGAAAAACCAGCAGAGGCACACUGUAGUAACAUGGGGACAUUCUUAAAAUACACAUGUCACCUCAGUACAUCACAAGGGAAGACUGUAGUGCUACUAAAAGUUCAUUGAUAUAGAUUGCAGCAAACACAGGAGCAUUUAGAAAGACACAGUUCAGUGUGAGCAAGUUCUGAGAGCUAUUUGAUCUGCUCAUAGCAGUUGGAAAUCUUGCUUAGCUGGCAAUUGAUUUUCUGAACAAUGAUGAUUAACACAUGCUACAAAAAUACCCUCUGAAUCAUCAGAGAAAAUUAGAUUCUAUUUAAUAGAGAACCUGUGAGUCCCCAUCAGAUGCAUUUCUUAAUUAUUUCAAAAUCUAUGAUUCACUGUUAAUCAGGCCACAUGAGUAACGAGAGGAGUUUAUUUCCUAGUCUAGCAGGGUAACAUUAGGUUUAUUGUGAUACCAUCGCUCAGUGUGUCUGCAAAAAUGUCUGGGAGGAAGCAGAAAGCAAAUACAGUUUAAUACUUCCUAGUUUGGUAUAAAUUCCAAUUGUACGGAAAAUUGAAACUAAGGAAAAAAAUGAAAAUAUGAACAGUCAGGCUAGUCCUCAAUAGCCAUCGACACACACAUACAGGAUGCCAGGUGACAAAGUUUCCCUGACUUACUGGCCCAGGAUGUCUGCACCUAGAUUUUAGACCUGCCUCUGGUACAUUACUGAAGCCUCUCAUCUGGGAAGAAUGGGGUUUGGAGGGAGAGAACGACCAGAUUGACAUUGCCCCAGGCUGUGAAGAAAUAACAAAAUGAAACAUAUAGCUCACCGGGUGGUAAGCCAAUCAUUAUCUUUUUAGUUCAAAGUCCUAAAAAUUGGAAUACAGAAGCUGUGCUGUGAGAGAUGGGCCAGCUGGGGAUAUACAAACAGCAGGUAUCGCGGUUCAAACGUCCAUGGUAAUCUGCUCAUGUUUUUUUAUUAUUAUUUUUAAUAUCCCAUGAUUGCAGCAUAUGCCUCAUAAGCCUUCAGAAUGAUUCGAGGUGGUAUAUCACUGUAUGUGCAAAGAAUUCCUAAUGACUACAAGCCACCGUGGCCAGCUUUAUAAGUGGAGUGAAGGGAACAUUUGAGAUGUAAUAAUGAGUUUUAGGCCCAAUUCACUCAGGGUGGAGGAAGUUAAUAACCACGGGGAAGAAUGUAUUAGUAAAAGAAGCCACUUUUAAUCAGAACAGUAGCAAAGGCUUCAGUUGGGAACAUGGAACGCAGGAGUAGAAGUGUGAGGGCACAGGAGAGGAAAUAGAGCAUUCGCCUGCCCUCCUUCCUGGAGGAGCUCCAAAUACAUUUUUGUUUUAAGGCACUGUCUUUGUUUUUGCACUAGCAAUUGGGGACUUGGGAUCUCUUCCAACACAACAAGAAGUAGAAAGCUAAAAACUGAAAACCAGCAGCUUUUCUUGGGUCUUGAGAUCACGGGAUAAGCUCUGCCCCAAAACCCAAAGGCAGACAGGUGGAUACAGAGGUUCCCAGUUCCUAUGAGCAGAAACCUGGAUGACAAUCCCACCUAGGAACCAAAUGGGUACCUGAUGAGUGGCUAGAGGCUCGACGUGGAUACAGUUGAACAUAAGAACUUCAGGGUAGUUUGUCUUGGUGGGGCAUGGGGACGACAUGUCUGUGAAUUUUGUUCUCAAAUGAAGAUCAGAGGAAUCAAGGGUGGGAAAGGCUGGGAGGCCUGAGGUGAAUCUGUGAAGAAUUAGGGUCUGGAGUAUAGGGAAUUUGUUCAAAAUACAUUGUGUGAAAUUCUCAAAUAAUUAAUAAAAUAUUGUCUUUUUAAAAUUUAUUUACAAUCCGGUCAUUUUCCCCCUCCUUUUCUCCCCCCCAUAGUUCUUCUUCCCAUUCACACUUGCCCCUGUGUCUGAGAGGAUGCUCCCCUAUCACCAGGCCUUGCCCUUCCCUGGGGUCUCAAGUUUAUCAAGAAUUAGGCACAUCUUUCCCACUGAGGCCAACCAGGCAAGUUCUCUGAUAUAUGUAUGUGUGUGUGUGUGUGUGUGUGUGUGUGUGUGUGUGUGUGUGUGUAUAUAUAUAUAUAUAUGUGUGUGUGUGUGUGUGUGUGUGUGUGUGUGUGUGUGUGUGUGUGUGUGUGUGUAUCAGGGGCCUCAUACUAGCUCUAGUUCAUAUAUGCUACCUGGUUGGUGACUCAGUGUCUGAGAGAUCUUGGGGGUCCAGGUCACUUAAGACAGCUGGUCUUCCUAUGGGGUCACCAACCUUCUCAGCUUUUUCCAUCCUUCCUGUAAUUCAACCAUAGGAGUCCCUGACUUCAGUCCAGUGGUUGGGUGUAAGUAUCUGUUUUUGUCUCAGGCAGCUAUUGGUUGGGCCUCUCAGAGGUGAACCGUGCUAGGCUCCUUCCUGUCUGUAAGUAUAUCAUAGCAUCAGUAAUCAUGUCAGGCCUUGGUAUCUCCCAUUAGAUGGAUCCCCAGUUGGGCCAGUCACUGGACUGCUUUUCCCUCCAUCUCUUCUCCAUUUUUGUCCCUGCAGUUCUUUUAGACAGGAACAUUUCUGGGUCAGAAAUUUUGACAAUGGGUUGGUAACACCAUCUGUCUUCUUGAGGUCCUGUCUAUCUACUGGUAGUGGACUCCUCCUGUUCCCUCUCUCACUGUUCAGCAUAAUAAAAUUGACUACAGUCAAUUACUGGAGGAAUUAGAGGUAGGUGGGUUUGAAGUGGAGAGGAGGAGAGGAAGAAGGAGGUUAGGGAAUGGGAGGAGAGGACCCAUGAGCACAUGGACAGAAGAAACAGCAUACCUCUGGAGUACACUGCAGGAGACGUAGCCAGGCCAGCAGGUAGGAGAGUAGAUUAGGGGUGACCUUGCAGUAAUUGUCAAUGCCAAAUAAAAUAACUGUAGUUCGAGUAUCAUUUAUUUGUAAACUAGUUGGGGAUAAGCUUAAAUUGAUUGAACUACAAAAGGAGGAAUAUAGGUGGUUUUCAGUAUUCUGAACAUGCUGUUCAUCAUGAAUCCUGACUUAAACUGUCCCACCAGAGUCCCUGUAUGAUACACAUGACUCCGCAGUGCACUGUGUACAGAGGGAGCUGAGGAGGGUGGUGGGAGAGCAGAUCCCCUUAGUCACUUGGCUGACAUCAAAACUUGAUCUGGCCACUUAUCCUUUUUCCAGUCUUUUUUACUUCCUCCUUUAGACCUUUCUUUCUGCAGGAGAAUUCCCAUGUACGUAAAAUAUGUAGUAGCCAUUUCUUUAAUGAGUUUCAGAGAAAAGUGUUCUGAUAGGUAAGGAUGGCUAAGCAUUACCUUGGCUAGUGUGUAAAGAGUUAGAAUCUUCUUGUGGAAGCUUGAGCCCAAAAAAGAAAAAGUCAUAGUCAACCUACCCCUUGUUUGCCAAUUGGGAGAUCCAGCCUAACUUCAGCCAAUAAAGCUUUGACAGUGAUGGAAAUGUUUGUGCUGCCCAACAUAGCAGCCCCUUGCAGCAUAUGGCUAUUGAACAUUUGAAAUAUGUCUAGUUCAACCUAGAACCUUGAAACUUUAAUUUUAUGUAAUAUUAAUCUAGCCAUUGAAGGGUCCUGACUACUAUAUUGUUAGUAUGAUCAUAGCCUAAGCCCUAUUUGGUUGUAUGUUCUGGACUUGGAGUGGCUGUAAAGCAGGUUUUUAACAUUUUCUUCUUUUUAAUUUUUUCCCCACUUUCUUUCCAAUAUUGAAAUGCAGAAACAGUAUAUGUAUUGAAUGUGGUCCUACUGAGAAGAGAACCAAUGACCUUCCCUCUCCCAAGUCUAUCUUCAGGAUCCCAACAUGAAGGGAAGGUUUAAAGAGACACUGAGAUAUAUGCACGUGUAAGCAGUCCAGCCAUGGUGGUGUUCCCUACUCAUCACUGUUCGAAUAUUUCCUCAGUGAGUAGAGCCUAAUUCUUGGAUUUAUGGAGACUCUGGGGGAAGGAAAAGAAGCACAGCCUCGUUAAAGGGAUUAAACAUGGCGUUUGGUGUGCUGCCUGGUUAAGUCAAAGGCACCUGAGAAACAGCAAGUACAGCAACAUCACUUUGACUUGUGUGCAGCCUCUCAAGAGCAACAGAGGAAAUCCUCACAUACAGGAGCCUCCCUCUGUAUCCCAAGGGAUGACUACACCCUGUCUUCAAGAACAUACAUGAGUUGCCUGGUAACAUGGCGGUCACACUGUGGCUAUGCAACAAUGAGUUACUGAGAUUGAAGAGUCAGAAGAAAUCUGUGCCAGAGACCUAAGGACCUGAGAGGAGAGCAUCGGUUCAAAAUCUGUAACUGUCCCAAGCAUGUAUGCUAGGAUGCAAAUUAAUUUGAGCCUUGUUUCCCCUGUUCUUGCCACUGGGAGCACAUUGGGUGGGAAGGUUAAUGCAGUACAGCCUUAUCUCCCGUGGGCACGUCUGGGGAGCCUUGGAAUCAUUUUGUUUCUCAUCUCUGAAAAUGGAAUGUGCUUUGCCACACUGAUGAGGAGGAGAGGAAAGAGGUCAAUUUGGAGAGAUUAGGAUGCCUACCAAGGCUCCCUGUGCUGGGAGGGGUUAUUAAGAAUCCCAGAAGUGGCUUCUGAAGGCUGCAGUUAGUUUAGUUCUGAGUGGACCUGUCUGUAAGGGUUUCUGUGCGGCUGUAGGAUGUUGUUAAAGUCCCCCUUCCUUGACCACUCCUUCCAAAGAGCAUACAUUUGACACUGGAGACCACCGAGAUUCAGUUCAGCCAAAGAGAAAUAAAAUGUGUACACUUUUCAAGCAAUUUUUCAUGCUUAUCUUCCAUGUGUUUGCUGAAUAAGAAUAAUUUUGCUGCCUGAUAAUAAAAAGACCAGUCAUUGUUAACAGCUUUCUCUCAACCACUACUUCAAUUUAAAUAUAUAUUCUUUUUUAUUUUUAUAGGUUUAUUGUAGGGAAACAGAAAUUCCCAGAGGCCCCGAAUAUUAAUGGAGUGUCAGGACAAGUUGACAAGAAUGACAAAAAAUAUGUUGUGAGAAGAGUGCAUAUCUAAAUUUUUGGCAAAAAGUUUGUUUAGAAAAGUCAGCCCUUUCUACAUGCCUAAGGAAUGUGGAAGAAUGGCCUAGCACGGAGCCCACCAUGGCUUGCAGACAUGGCCCCAGUCUCCUGUUUGACAAUACGCACCUCUAUCUUCCUCAACCUCUCCCCGUCCUUGUAUCAUUAGCUCAGAGUCUUGCCUGCCUGCUUAUUUAAACCCUACCUUCCUACCUCCCAUUUCCAAACUCUCUGCUUACUUGAGUAGAUUGAUGAGUUAUUCUAUGAGUACAGCCUGAAAGCCUCCAAAAUAGUUAAAUGUAAUAUGAAUACAUAGAUACGUGGGGGUCAAUAAAUGCACAAAUGACUCACGAGUCAAGUUAGUUUUAUCCUCUGCUUAGCCACCCCCUACAAACUAAAAAUAUUCAAUAAAAAUAUUCCACUCAUUUUGAACUGAGGUUUAUAAUUUCUGUAGAAUUGCAGAAAUCCAGAUGGUGCCAGAGAGUAAGUUGAUAUAUCUUCAAGUAAAUUUACUCAUCCCAGCAAAUUUCACUAUACUUUUGCCUCCACAGUAGUCCCUGACCAUUGGUCUCUGGGGAGGGAACGAUUUCCUAGGAAUAACUCCAUAACACAAUCUUAUUAUGAUCUCUACAUGUUAUUUUGCAUUUUUCAUACUUUUUGAAAGCACAAUUAAUCUGUGUUUUAAAUUGAGUUGUGAUCAGUUGAUUGAUGGUUGAUGUUCUUACAAUGGAAAUCAGGCAAAGUUAGAUGUUCAUAAAGGAAAAGUAAUAGGAAUUGAUUCAAGAAUAAGAAAACCAUCUUCAAGCCAAGGAGAGCUUUCACAGGCUUCGGAAGGCACAUAUGUGCUAAAGCCUUGCUUUCAGACGGGUCUCCUGUAGAACACUGAAAUGGGUGUCUGCUGUUUAAGCUCUUGAAGGAGUGAUUGUUAGUGGUAGCCCUACAACACUAACCUACAGUGGCAACAUUUUAAUAGCAUUUUACUUAACACCAGUCACCAAAAAUGCUAUCACUCAACAAUGGAAUCUACAAAAAGAUAUUUAAAUAUCUUCCAAGUUCGUGGUGGAUUUGAUGCAGUACAUCUUAAUUUCAACUGAUCACAUUUCAAGUAGGAACCAUGUGAGGUUUAUGGCUUCCAUACUGAAAGACACUUGUUUCUGGUGAGCUAAGAACUGGAUGAGAGAUUUAUCUAUUCUUUAUUCUCCGGGAAACUAAGGAACACAUUCAGUGAUCUGGCAGACUUGGCAGUGAAGGAAUAAGUAGAAAAAUGUUACAGUAAUAAAUGAAGAAAAUAAUACUACAUAUUUUUCAUUAGUUAGGUUUCUGUGCAGAAGCAUUCAUGUAUGUUUUUUCCUCCACAGAGCCAGACAUCAUGAAAUCAAAAUAUUUGAAAAGAAAGUCUAUGAGCCUAUACUAAAGAAAAUUAGGCUUCCCCUCCUUCCUGAUGUUAUUUUCUAAAUGAGGCAGUAUAGUAACUCUUAAUAUAGCAUACCUUUGGAUGUAGGGGUUUUAAGUAAUCUAAGAUAAUUUAAAACACAUGGGAAGAUAAAUGGAAAGUUGUAUUCAGAUGCUACUUACCAUUUUAUUUUAGGUAUUGAUGGGUUUUGAUGGUCAUGGAAGACAGAGGUAGGGUGGUCCUGAAGCCAAUGCCCAAGAAUCCCUAAGGAUAUCUACUUUAAAAUCUCAUAUUAGUGUACAUAUUUUAACUUUAGCAAAUGGUUUGAUUUGGUUUUCUUACUUUAAUCAUACAAGUGCAUAAUUUACAAGCAGUUUACCACAGAAACAGAAACAAAACAAAGCAAAAACAACAAACAAAAAUAUAAAAACAAACAGAAAAGCCCCACCUCCUCCCCAUUACAAAAUAACAAGCUCAUUGUAAACAAGCAUUUAGAUGAGCACAGGCCUCUAUUUCACAGUCUUUAAAAUCAAUAUGAUGGAUUUGACAAUUGUUUACAAGCAUGGAUGCCCCAUUUUAAUGCCUGGCUCUGGGCAGUGGGCCUGUGCAUCUUCUCUGGUAUUUUUCUAUGUUCAGAAUGAUAUCUGAGAAAAAUCAUUUAGAAGAAGAACUGAAGAGGAGUGAUGGAGAAGGGAGUGGGGAGGUUGGAGGGAAGAAGACAACAUAUAAUUUUACUCAUUAACUUUCCUGCUAUAAAAUCAACAGCAACAGAUUAUGUGCUUUUUUUAUCAAAUACUAUCUUUAAGAAGAGUAUGAAGGGCUCUGGCAUGCAAGAUCAUGGCAAACAUGCAGUUGAUCCUAACACACAUGGUGUUUUUGCCUUUCCCUUUAUAAACUGUCAUUUGCCUACAGGUCACAUCUGUUUCUGCUUCCCUACCUCUGGAGCAAAUAAACCACAUUUUCUCUCAGAACUUGGUCUUGAUGUGUCCUGGUCUGUUCUCCCUUACAGAACGAGCAUUAUGUAGGACAAUGGUACAAACCAUUAAUAAACAGUAGAGUUUGCUUGGCUGGUGGCCAGCACAAAGUGAUGGAAACAUGACCUCUGAGAUUUUUGAGGACAGAGCUGACUUCAGCAAUGGAAGUGUUGGUUCUCAACUCCUGUCCUUCCUCCUAUUCCUCAGACUCUUCUCUUUGGGUCAGCAUCACAGUGUGGGUUCAAUUCCACAUGACUGCAGUCUUCUUGCAUUGAAACAGUACAAUAACUCACUGUAACCCUGGUUUGUUUUUCCUGUACAGCUUCUCAAUUCACUAUAAGAAAGCAUAAUCAGUAGAGUGGCAUGUGGCCCUCUACUAAAUCCUGAUGCUGUAAGAACUAGGGAUGUACUGCACAUUAUCAAUAAGACUUUGAGAUGAACCCGAUACCCUCUAGCUUUGAUAAAAUCAUUUUUGUUUGAUCACUUCAUAUGGGAACCACUUCCAUCCCAAAUCUUGGAGAUCUACUAGUCUCACUGCUGCUCAGAAGUUACCCAUGCGUCCUUGAAAGUACUCAGUAAAUCAUAUCAUGUUGCCCUCAUGAGGCUGGGUCUUUUUAGAAGCCAUUAUUCCCAUCUUUUUCAUUAGUGAUUCCCAGGUCUCUCUCUUUGGCCAAUAGUAAACCCUUACAGCAUAAUAUUUUGCCUAGUUGUCUUGUGCCCACUUUUACUCCUGGCGUUGUUGUUGAUUAGUUCAGGUUUGCAACACUCUGACUUUCUAAAAUGGUGAAGUUCUUAUCAUCCAUUCAGCAUCACAGAGUAUUCAAUCGUGGUAUCCUGUUCCCACAAGAAACUUCAGAGAUUUAAAUUUAUAGUAGUCAUUUGUGUUUAUUGCCUGACAGCUAGGAACUUCAGACAAGGUUUCCAAAAGAGGCAGCUGAGAUGAAGUGUCCUUCUAUGUUCAUCUUUCAGUGCUUUCUCAGGAGAGAAGCCUAAUAUCUGUAUCAUGCAUGAACUGGCCUUUGAUUACUUCUAUAUUGGCCCUACUGUGUGCCUUGCUUUCCAGGAUCAAUAAUGCUUCCUUUAAAGCCUGUGCAUGUAUGUUCUCGUCUAUCUAUAUUCACAUGUGUGUUUGUGUGCAUGUGUGCAUUUGUUUGAGCAUGUGUGUGUGUGUGUGUGUGUGUGUGUGUGUGUGUGUGUGUCCAUAUGCUUUUGUGUGCACAUAUGCACGGAGAUCAAUGGUUGAUAGGAUCCUUCUUCCAAGAUAGAAGAUAUCUUGUUCUUUGAAGCAGGAUAUAUCAACCAAACAUGGAGUUCCUGAAACAUCUAGCCUCACCAACUUGCUCUGGUUUUCCCAUGUCUCUGCCACUUGAGGCUUGCAUUGUAGGUGCACUCCCAUAUCCACUUUCCACUAGGCAUUUAUAUGAAAUUUUGGAGUCUAAAGUCAAACCCUUGUGCUUGUGACACCAGAAGCUUAACUGUGUGGUCAUCUCCCCAGUCUUUCUGCAAUGGUUCUGAUGACAAGAGACUUGGUGCUUACCAUUAGCCUCAGCUGAAAACUACUUUCCAGUGGAAUCCCAAGGCCCACCAAAGGCUUAUUGAUUACAUUAAAACAUCUAGAGGUUGGAACCCAUAUCCUGUCUCUAACAAAGUCCUAGGGAUUUUGACGCAGAGUUGCAGUUAAAAACUGCUUUCAGUAUUAGGGACCACUAGUGCUCAUGCUCACUCAUGUCCAAUUAAAAUCAUACGAGGACUUGGUAAGGGGAGAUUUUUUUAUUUUUAUUUUUAUUUUAUUUUAUUUUUUUAUUAACUUGAGUAUUUCUUAUUUACAUUUUGAGUGUUAUUCCCUUUCCGGUUUCCGGGCCAACAUCCCCCUAAUCUCUCCCCCUCCCCUUCUUUGUGGGUGUUCCCCUCCCUAUCCUCCCCCCAUUACUGCCCUCCCCCCAACAGUCUAGUUCACUGGGGGUUCAGUCUUAGCAGGACCUAGGGCUUCCCCUUCCACUGGUGCUCUUACUAGGAUAUUCAUUGGUACCUAUGAGGUCAGAGUCCAGGGUUAGUCCAUGUAUAGUCUUUGGGUAGUGGCUUAGUCCCUGGAAGCUCUGGUUGCUUGGCAUUGUUCAUAAGGGGUCUCGAGCCCCUUCAAGCUUUCCAGUUCUUUCUCUGAUUCCUUCAAUGGGGGUUCUGUUCUCAGUUCAGUGGUUUGCUGCUGGCAUUCGCCUCUGUAUUUGCUGUAUUCUGGCUGUGUCUCUCAGGAGAGAUCUACAUUCGGCUCCUGUCGGUCUGCACUUCUUUGCUUCAUCCAUCUUGUCUAAUUGGAUGGCUGUGUAUGUAUGGGCCACAUGUGGGGCAGGCUCUGAAUGGGUGUUCCUUCUGUCUCUGUUUUAAUCUUUGCCUCUCUAUUCCCUGCCAAGGGUAUUCUUGUUCCCCUUUUAAAGAAGGAGUGAAGCAUCCACAUUUUGAUCAUCUGUCUUGAGUUUCAUUUGUUCUAGGCAUCUAGGGUAAUUCAAGCAUUUGGGCUAAUAGCCACUUAUCAAUGAGUGCAUACCAUGUGUGUUUUUCUGUGAUUGGGUUACCUCACUCAGGAUAUUUUCCAGUUCCAACCAUUUGCCUACGAAUUUCAUAAAGUCAUUGUUUUUGAUAGCUGAGUAAUAUUCCAUUGUGUAGAUGUACCACAUUUUCUGUAUCCAUUCCUCUGUUGAAGGGCAUCUGGGUUCUUUCCAGCUUCUGGCUAUUAUAAAUACGGCUGCGAUGAACAUAGUGGAGCACGUGCCUUUUUUAUAUGUUGGGGCAUCUUUUGGGUAUAUGCCCAGGAGAGGUAUAGCUGGAUCCUCAGGCAAUUCAAUGUCCAAUUUUCUGAGGAACCUCCAGACUGAUUUCCAGAAUGGUUGUAGUAAGGGGAGAUUUUAUCCUCAAAGGGUAUUACAAAGGUUCGGGGGGAAUGGAUGCUUAAGAAGGAGGGGAUGCGGUCACCAGAAAAUUUGUUCUUUUGAAGAGUUAAAUAAAAAGCAUUUCUCUGUCUUGUAGGAGUUAAGGAGACUAGGGAGAAAUAGUUGUGUAGGGGGAGGGGAUGAAAGAGGGUUGAUAAAGGACAGAGAAUAUUCACCACGAAGGAAGGAUAUUCCCAGUCAGAGCUACCGGAAAGGAGACAUGUGUGGUAUUUUAGAUCAUGGAGGCCAAAGGGUAGAGGCCUGAAGGAAGAAACUUCAGUUUUCGAAACAGAUUUGUGUGUGUGCGUGUGCGUGUGCGCACGUGUGUGUGUGUGUGUGUGUGUGUGUGUGUGUGUUCGUGAGUAGAGACAAUUUACGUAAAUAUUUAUGAGAAUAUAAUGGUAAUUUAGAGGGUCUUAUGUGGCUUUGCUAUCUUUGAGUCUAUGUAGGACACUUGUCUGUAUUACAGAAUAAUGAGCAAUUGUUCCACCUUGGCUAUGGUCUGAGAGCACGGGGAUCAGGUAAUUUAUUAUAUUUGUUGUAUCCUUUCAAAUUUCUGACCUCAGUGCUUGCUCUUUAUCUGCUACAGAUUCUCUGCCCUUCCUGGUUCCUGGUGUUUUCCUACUGUGUCAUUUUCUCCAUGCUAGAUCCUACAUCUUAUCUCCAUUCCCUAUUCUCCAAUUCUCCAACUGUGCCCAAUGACUAGCUGGAAUCAAUGAAAGCGAGAAAAAUACAAGAAAGUGUAAUGCUGCUUGGAUGAUGUAUCAAAAUUUUUAAAAAUUCUACAAAUGUUUGAGAGGGAUGACUAGAAUAUAUUCUAUAUGUGUAUGAAGCUGUCAGGGAUUAGAUUAAUAGAAACCAAUCAGUUAAAAGUUUUCUUUUCUGCAGUUGGCAGGCAGUGGGGUGUUUCACAUCUACCCCUGAAUACUCACUCCUCUGCAUGGAGCACUAUUGCUUUGUGUGCCCAGAAGAGCACAGUUUGCCCAGGCUCGGCUCCUUAGGUAUGGGGCGUGUAGGAGGUGUACUUUAUCUUAUGUUCUACAAGGCAGGAUAGAGGUGUUAAAGCUCCCUAAUGUGCUACUGGGCUACAGAUAAAGAGUUUAACAGCCCGUGGGAGAGCCAAUUAGAGUCAAUUAUAAUGUAAUGGAGGUGCUUGUUUUCCAGCUUGUAUAGAACUCCUGUCUGCAGGAAGAAUGUGCUUCUUCUCUUACCAAGUUUUGGGGCAAAUCACAGCUGUGUGCGUUCGCAGGAAAUGACUUUGACCUUCGUGAUCUUAAGGGUGAGUUUCAUAGAAACUAAACUGAGAUCAGUGCCUUCGAUGUUCAGCUGGGUUCUGCUGUUUUGAAAGGGCAAAGGGAGUGUUGGUUUUCCUAUUCCUUUGCUUUUUUCUUGCUUAUUUAUGAGUGUUGUUAAAUUGUUACAAAUUACAAUUGGCCUUUGUAUCUAUGUGUUCCACACCCAUGGAUACUAUCAUCUGUGAGGGUAAAUGUGGUGGAAACAAAAAUUGUUUCUCUCUGCAAUGUGAGCAGAGCAUUUCUGGUCUCUCCUCUCCUAAAUUACACAGUAUCACAGCUAUUUACAAAGUGUCUGCCUGUGCCACAUUAAGUAUUGUAUGCUUUGGAGUUGACUCAACGAAUAAGGACAAACACACAUAGGUUGUAUGUAAAUACUCUAUCAUUUUACUUGACAGACUUGGGUAUGUUUGAAAUUUGUCAUUAGUAGUGGCACUUGGAAUGAAUUCCUUCGAGUAACAAGGGGCAAGUGUACAAAAGACCUGGCAUGAGACCACUGGGAGUCAGACAUAAAAUCUUGUGGAAAAGUCAGAAAUUCAAAACAAACAAACAAAACCAAAAACUAAAAACAAAACAAAACAAACAAAAACCAAGCAAAAUCUGAAAUUCUCAUGCAUUUCCCUAUAGUUUCUCUGUGGGCAGGUGUGAGAAGUGCCUGCUAUUCCCAGCAACUCCCUUCCCAUACACUCUUUAGCUUUUGUCAAUUUGACACAAACUAGAGUCAUCUUGGAGGAAGCAACCCAAGUUGAGAAAUUGCCUUCAUCAGACUGUCCUGUGGGCAUAUCAGGGAGGCAUUUUCUUUAAGACCGCCUGUUGAUGUAACAGUAUCUAGCUAACUGUGGACAAUGUGCUCUAUGAGUCCAUGGACUUGAAAUGCUAAGAAAAGUAGCAAACCAAACCAGCAAGCAUGGUUCCCCCCACAGCCCCUCUUCAGUUCCUGUCUCCAAGUCUCUGACUUUAGAUCUUGUCUUGUGUUCCUCAAUAUGGACAACAGAUUGCAACCUUUAAAGUGAAAUUUAUCCUUUACCUCUAAGCCGAUUUUUGCCAUGGUAUUUGCAGCACUAGUAAGCAAAUCAAGACUCCUAGUAAUUGGUGUUUGGACCAUUAGUGAUGGUUUGCGGGGGUUAUACUAUAUCCCUUUUUCUUUUUACACCCACUCUUGUGGGUUAGGUUGGGACUAUCUAAAGACACGAGACCAGUUUCUUUUUGGAGCAAAGAAACAUCCCUGCAAAGUGGUAAUAUGGAAAGUCUGACUGUUGGGAGAGAGAGCACAUGGGAGCUCUUAGUACUGUUUGUCUAAUCUCUGAAACUGAAAACUGCUCUAAGAAAUAAAGUCUAAUUUUACCUAGACUCCCACUCAGUGAAUUAGCAUUUCUUGGGUUGAGAAUCAAACACAUGUAUCACUUACACGAUCCCUAGAGGUCUUCAGUGUGCAGGCAUAGCUCAGUUAAAUUAGGGCACACGUACAUAAGCUUUAGAUCACCCCUAGUGGUCUGUGUGCGAAGGUUUUUCUCCCCAGAGGCAGCUGUUGCCUGAGUCAUGCUGCUUGGGAAACAAGAGAGGUCAAAAUUAGUUUUGAAUGUAAAGUAGCUAAUUCGAAGUAUUGCAUAGCCACCGCACAGGUCACAUACAGCUUCGGAAUCAUUAGUGUAUUAAGUACUUACUAAAACUUGUGUUUAUAAUCUUAUUAAAUAAGGAAUCUAGCCCUUGACAUGUGCUCCUCUGCGCAGUGACAGUUUUAGCUGGAAUUUUAUGAGCAAUGCAGGCUGCAUGUUUAAUGCACUGAACCAGAUACAUUUCAGCUCAAAACCUGAUAUUGUCAGUCACUUCAAUGAGAAGUGCUGAUGUGUGAGAAUCUUGGUGCGAACAAAGAGCCUACGAAGCAGAUCAAAGGUUGCUACACGUUUAGCUUUUGUGGGCAACUUCUUAAAAGACAGUAAUGUUAUGAAGAGUCAUGAUUGAAAAAUAACACUACCAGGGUUGCGCCCCACUCCCUCUUGCACCCCUUCUCCCCACAGUUGUGAUUUCACUGCCUUAAGGCACAGUCUGGGGCAUUGGGACUGUCACAAACAUUACAAGUGAAGGAACUGUGCAGGCAGCUUAAACAAACAAACAAACAAAACAAGACAAACCACUGACCGAAAAGUAAAAGGCAGUUAGAUUCUCUGGAUAGGGAAUUGUGUAGUUGGUUAGUUUGUGACAACACUUAAGCUGUCUUAAACCCAGAUGGAAAGGAAUUCACGUUUGAAUCCCUGAACUACUUGGAGCUCUAUUAUUAUUAUUAUUAUUAUUAUUAUUAUUAUUAUUAUUAUUAUUAUUAUUAUUAUUUGUCUCAGGCCAAAAGUGCCAGGGUGUUGUAACAGAAGUUCCAAAGAGGAAAAGCAAUGGACAAUAAUCCUCACUAGCAUCUCAAAGGAAGUUCAGCAUGGCCCUGAGGAAUAACUGCUGUGGAAAGGGUAUGUGCUGGGGAUGUCUCUUAGAGUCUAGGACAAGAGACCAGGGCUUGAGGGUAGCAGUUAGACUGGGAAUAAUGCCAUUAGGGAAGGAAUUGGCAGGCAGUGAAUAAUUAACUCAGUCUUUUUUUAUUAAAGGAAAAAAUAACCAUUUCCUGAGUCUUCUGAGAGAUAAAAGCAGGCUGGGCAAAAUCUGAAGUACCAAGGGCAGAAUAGGACAAUAGGCUGCAGAAAUCUCCUUUUUGAAGCACUUUUUCAGUUUCAGAGAGAGAGAGAGAGAGAGAGAGAGAGAGAGAGAGAGAGAGAGAGAGAGAGAGAGAGAGAGAGAGAAAGAAAGAAAGAAAGAGAGAGAG